GUUCCGGCUAGGCGACGGAGCCGCCGGCGGUGUUGGUGAUGUGCGGGUCGAAACCUUCGGCACGCAGGUUGUUCAGCACCAUCCUGGAAUG
rnacentral:tRNA from 1 species